rnacentral:rRNA from 1 species
AACGAACGCUGGCGGCAGGCCUAACACAUGCAAGUCGAGCGGCAGCGGGUCCCCGCGAGGGGAUGCCGGCGAGCGGCGGACGGGUGAGGAACACAUCGGAAUCUGCCUGGUUGUGGGGGAUAACGUAGGGAAACUUACGCUAAUACCGCAUGCGACCCUGAGUCGACGGACUUGGGGUGAAAGUGAGGGACCUUCGGGCCUCACGCGACCAGAUGAGCCGAUGUCGGAUUAGCAGUUGGCGGGGUAACGGCCCGCCAAGGCGACGAUCCGUAGCUGGUCUGAGAGGAUGAUCAGCCACACUGGGACUGAGACACGGCCCAGACUCCUACGGGAGGCAGCAGUGGGGAAUCUUGACAAUGGGCGCAAGCCUGAUCCAGCCAUGCCGCGUGGGU